UUGAUUAUUUAAUAUUUACUCAGACUUCUAAUAAAUAGGAUUUGGAUAAACCUCUGGCGGGCGCGAGCCGCCCCCCAGCAGAAAACGCUGGGGGCCGGCAUGAGCCGUAUAGCCUGCUCAAGGCCCACCAAAGCAACAAAGGUAAGGUAAACAUGGGGUUGAGAUGCACGAUGAGCGCUGGCCGAGCCCGGAGGACUCGGACAGACACCCACCGCUGGGGGCUAGGCCCCCGAACUCAUUAAUGAUCCUUCCGCAGGUUCACCUACGGAAA
rnacentral:misc_RNA from 1 species